rnacentral:rRNA from 1 species
AUUGAACGCUGGCGGCAGGCCUAACACAUGCAAGUCGAGCGGCAGCGGGAAAGUAGCUUGCUACUUUUGCCGGCGAGCGGCGGACGGGUGAGUAAUGCCUGGGGAUCUGCCCAGUCGAGGGGGAUAACUACUGGAAACGGUAGCUAAUACCGCAUACGCCCUACGGGGGAAAGCAGGGGACCUUCGGGCCUUGCGCGGUUGGAUGAACCCAGGUGGGAUUAGCUAGUUGGUGAGGUAAUGGCUCACCAAGGCGACGAUCCCUAGCUGGUCUGAGAGGAUGAUCAGCCAGACUGGAACUGAGACACGGUCCAGACUCCUACGGGAGGCAGCAGUGGGGAAUAUUGCACAAUGGGGGAAACCCUGAUGCAGCCAUGCCGCGUGUGUGAAGAAGGCCUUCGGGUUGUAAAGCACUUUCAGCGAGGAGGAAAGGUUGGUAGCUAAUAACUGCCAGCUGUGACGUUACUCGCAGAAGAAGCACCGGCUAACUCCGUGCCAGCCGCCGCCGUAAUAC